UGCUGACAUAAGUAACGAUAAUGCGGGUGAANNACCCGCACGCCGGAAGACCAAGGGUUCCUGUCCAACGUUAAUCGGGGCAGGGUGAGUCGACCCCUAAGGCGAGGCCGAAAGGCGUAGUCGAUGGGAAACAGGUUAAUAUUCCUGUACUUGGUGUUACUGCGAAGGGGGGACGGAGAAGGCUAGGUUAUCCGGGCGACGGUUGUCCCGGUUUAAGCGUGUAGGUGGAUGUUUUUGGUAAAUCCGGAACAUCGUUAACACUGAGGCGUGAUGACGAGUCACUACGGUGAUGAAGUGACCGAUGCCAAGCUUCCAGGAAAAGCCUCUAAGCUCCAGGUAACACGAAAUCGUACCCCAAACCGACACAGGUGGUCAGGUAGAGAAUACCAAGGCGCUUGAGAGAACUCGGGUGAAGGAACUAGGCAAAAUGGUGCCGUAACUUCGGGAGAAGGCACGCUGGCGUUGGUGAAGGGACUUGCUCCCGGAGCUGAUACCAGUCGCAGAUACCAGCUGGCUGCAACUGUUUAAUAAAAACACAGCACUGUGCAAACACGAAAGUGGACGUAUACGGUGUGACGCCUGCCCGGUGCCGGAAGGUUAAUUGAUGGGGUCAGCCGCAAGGCGAAGCUCUUGAUCGAAGCCCCGGUAAACGGCGGCCGUAACUAUAACGGUCCUAAGGUAGCGAAAUUCCUUGUCGGGUAAGUUCCGACCUGCACGAAUGGCGUAAUGAUGGCCAGGCUGUCUCCACCCGAGACUCAGUGAAAUUGAACUCGCUGUGAAGAUGCAGUGUACCCGCGGCAAGACGGAAAGACCCCGUGAACCUUUACUAUAGCUUGACACUGAACCUUGAGCCUUGAUGUGUAGGAUAGGUGGGAGGCUUUGAAGUGUGGACGCCAGUCUGCAUGGAGCCAACCUUGAAAUACCACCCUUUAAUGUUUGAUGUUCUAACGUGGGCCCCUAAUCGGGGUUGCGGACAGUGUCUGGUGGGUAGUUUGACUGGGGCGGUCUCCUCCCAAAGAGUAACGGAGGAGCACGAAGGUUAGCUAAUCCUGGUCGGACAUCAGGAGGUUAGUGCAAAGGCAUAAGCUAGCUUGACUGCGAGAGUGACGGCUCGAGCAGGUGCGAAAGCAGGUCUUAGUGAUCCGGUGGUUCUGAAUGGAAGGGCCAUCGCUCAACGGAUAAAAGGUACUCCGGGGAUAACAGGCUGAUACCGCCCAAGAGUUCAUAUCGACGGCGGUGUUUGGCACCUCGAUGUCGGCUCAUCACAUCCUGGGGCUGAAGUAGGUCCCAAGGGUACGGCUGUUCGCCGUUUAAAGUGGUACGCGAGCUGGGUUUAGAACGUCGUGAGACAGUUCGGUCCCUAUCUGCCGUGGGCGUUGGAAGAUUGAGGGGGGUUGCUCCUAGUACGAGAGGACCGGAGUGAACGCACCACUGGUGUUCGGGUUGUGAUGCCAAUCGCAUUGCCCGGUAGCUAAGUGCGGAAGAGAUAACCGCUGAAAGCAUCUAAGCGGGAAACUUGCCCCGAGAUGAGUCUUCCCUGGGACUUCGAGUCCCCUGAAGGGCCGUUGAAGACGACGACGUAGAUAGGCUGGGUGUGUAAGCGUAGCGAUACGUUGAGCUAACCAGUACUAAUGACCCGAGAGGCUUAACCUU
rnacentral:rRNA from 1 species